rnacentral:lncRNA from 1 species
UUUUUUUUCUUUUUUUUUCAUGACAAAUAAGAGAUAAAAAUUUACCCCAGUAUGGAGUUUGCAAUCUUUAGGAGGGCUAUCAAAUGAAAGGUUGAAUUAUUCUGGAGGUUCAAUGGGGAAAACUAGGGAUAAGAUGUUCAAAGAGAAAAGAAGAAGGCUCGCCUUUGAUCCGCCAUAGAUGGUAUUUCAAAAAGAAAAAUCAUAUAAUCAGAUAAAGAAUUUAUUUCACAUGUCUGAAUUGAUUGGCAGAGGAAAGACCUGUCCAUCCAGUUCUGUAAGAAUGGACGUUCCUCCGGAUAGCACUCUUUGAACAAUAAAUGGCCCUUGC